rnacentral:rRNA from 1 species
UACGGAGGGCGCGAGCGUUGUCCGGAAUCACUGGGCGUAAAGGGCGCGUAGGCGGCCCUGGUAAGUCUGCGGUGAAAGCCCGGGGCUCAACCCCGGGUCGGCCGCGGGUACUGCCGGGCUGGAGUGCCGUAGGGGCAGGCGGAAUUCCGGGUGUAGCGGUGGAAUGCGUAGAGAUCCGGAAGAACACCGGUGGCGAAGGCGGCCUGCUGGGCGGCGACUGACGCUGAGGCGCGACAGCGUGGGGAGCAACAGG